CUGGUGCAGGUCCCGUCCCUAUUCUUUUGUCUCUGUUUAUUCUUUUUUCUUUUGCCCUACCCAGGUACGUGGGGAGUUUCUUGCCUUUGGGGAGGUCUGAGGUCUUCUGCCAGCGUUCAGUAGGUGUUCUGUAGGGGUUGUUCUACAUGUAGCUGUAUUUCUGAUGUAUUUGUGGGGAGGAAGGUGAUCUCCGCAUCUUACUCUUCCGCCAUCUUGAAGCUCCCCUUAAGUUAAUUUUUGUAUUUUGUAUUUUGCAAGGUAAUGAUCCAACUUCAUUCUUUUGCAUUUGGAUAUCCAGUUGUCCUUGCACCAUUUGUUGAAAAGAUUAUUCUUUCCCCACUGAAUUGUCUUGACAUCCUUGUCAAAAAUGUAAGGAUUUGUUUCUGGAUUCUCAAUUCUUUCCCAUCGAUCUAUAUGUCUAUCUUUUUAAAAAAAAUUAUUUUAUUUAUUUUGUUUUUGGCUGUGUUGGGUCUUCGUUGUUGUGCGGGGGUUUUCUGUAGUUGUGGCUAGUGGGGGUACUAUUCAUUGCAGUGAGCAGGCUUCUCAUUGCGGUGGCUUCUCUUGUUGUGGAGCACGGGCUCUAGGUGCGCAGGCUUCAGUAGUUGCAGCACACGGGCUCAGUAGUUGUGGCUCACGGGCUCUAGAGUACAGGCUCAGUAGUUGUGGCACACGGACUUAGUUGCUCCGCAGCAUGUGGGAUCUUCCUGGACCAGCGAUCGAACCAUUGUUCCCUGCAUUGGCAGGCGGGUUAUUAACCACUGCGCCCCCAGGGAAGUCCCUAUAUGUCUAUCUUUAAGCCAGUACUAAAUUGUUUUGAUUACUAUAGUUUUGUUGUGGCUUGAAUCUUUCAGCAAUAUAAUUAACACAGUGCAUUUAGUAGUCCUAGUGGUGAGCUGCAAGAGGCUGUCCAGGUGACCUCACGCAGCGUGGUCCAGAUUUUUAUUUGCUCCAAACUGGACUGGAACCUUGUUCACUUGCCACAGCAGGAAUGUAGGAGGUGUACACAGGGACUGUGAAAUUCCUUUAGGGCAUAAUAACAUGGUGUGACGUUGACCAGACCUGUAAACUGAGCAGCUCUGAAUACAUACAGACAAAGCCACUAGCAGGAUAAAGGGGGGGGGGGUGCUUUGGGUAUCAGAUAUAAAAUUCACACUUAGUUUGCUGUUUCUGAGAAGCUUUUAGAGAUGCUCUCCCCAGACGCGCAGCCCAAGGGGCUGCAGUAAAGGCUACCCUUGCUUAGCCACUCUGCCUUCCAAGUCACUCCUCCUUGGCUCUCUGCUCCCAAGACUUGGCUCUGUGAGAUCUUCUGUAGGCCUACAGUGGUAGCAUGCUCUUGGUGUCCAUAUAAACUAAGCUAUUUUAAAAGGAUACUUCGUAGACACUUUUUAGACAAUAUGCUUAUGCCAUGGUUGUGUAUCUUUAAAGAAAUGGUUUUCUAGAUGUGCUAAAUCUUUAUCUCCUUGGUCCAGAUUUUCAGUGACGUUGGUCAGUUAAGCAUUGUACACUUGAGGAACUGGCAGUGAAGAAUACAAUGAAUAUCAGCACUGGCUUCAUGCUAAUGUGCUAUUUUACCUAUCAUGACUUUUGCACCAUGAGUUCUAACGACAAUAAAUUUUGUAAUUCUUUUCUGUCAUAAUUUCAUAGAUUAUGAUUUAAUUUUUAGAGAAAACAGGUGGCAUUUACACACAAGUCAAGAAACAUUAGAAGAACCAGGGAUGUAAUAUACAACAUAAAUAUAACACUGCUUGCUGUAUGUUAUAUAGAAAGUUAAGAGACUGAAUCCUGAGAGUUCUCAUCACAAGAAAAAAACUUUUCUAUUUCUUUAAUUUUGUACCUAUAGGAGAUGAUGGAUGUUCACCAAACUUAUUGUGAGCGUCACUCCUCAGUGUAUGUAAAUCAAAUCUUUAUGCUAUACACCUUAAACUUAUGCAGUGCUGUCAAUUAUAUCAUAUAAAUUAUAGCAUAUAACUGGAAGAAAAAAAAAGAAUUGUAUACUUGAAUGGUAAUUUUGAGUGAAAUUCCAGAGGCUGAAUAUGGAUUGUUACGAGUGAGAAACUCCUGGGACCACAGUGUUUGGGGAAAGUCCCCACAGUUUUGUGGUUCUUACCUCCAGGAAUGCUACCAGAUUUUCAUGGUGGAGUUAUGUAUGUGAAUGGUCUAGAUACACCAGUUAAAGACGGAGAUUGUUAACAUGGAUUAAGAAAAACAAGACCUAACUAUAAGAAACCCAUUUUAUAUAUAAAGACUGAGAUUAUAAAUAAAGGGAUGGAGAAAGAUAUACCAUGAUAACAUUAACUAAAGAAACUUGGAGUGUCUAUAUUAAUUUCAGACAAAGCUGACUUCUGAACAAGAAAGAUUAUCAGGAAUAAAAUGAGGCAGUUGGGCUUCCCUGGUGGCGCAGUGGUUGAGAGUCCGCCUGCUAAUGCAGGGGACGCGGGUUCAUGCCCUGGUGCGGGAGGAUCCCACAUGCCGCGGAGCGGCUGGGCCCGUGGGCCAUGGCCGCUGGGCCUGCGCGUCCGGAGCCUGUGCUCCGCAACGGGAGAGGCCACGGCAGUGAGAGGCCCGCGUACCGAAAGAAAAAAAAAGAGGCAGUACAUCAUGAUGAAGGGUGUAAUUCUCCAAAAAGACAUAACAACCCUAAACAAGAAUGCACCUAAAUAUGUACCAAAAUACUUGAGUUAAAAACUGAGAGAACUGAAAGGAGUUAUAGACAAAUCCACUAUUUUAAAUAGAGGCUUCAACAUCCCUCUGUUAAUAGCUGAUGGAUCAAGCGGGCAGUAAAUCAGUAAGGAUGUGGAUAACCUGAGUAGCGCUAUCAAUCAACUGGAUCUUGUUUAUUUUGUUAACAUCUUUAUUGGAGUAUAAUUGCUUUACGAUGGUGUGUUAGUUUCUGCCUUAUAACAAAGUGAAUCAGCUAUACAUAUACAUAUAUCCCCAUAUCUCCUUCCUCUUGCAUCUCCCUCCCACCCUCCCUAUCCCACCCCUCUAGGUAGUCACAAAGCACCGAGUUCAUCUCCCUGUGCUAUGCGGCUGCUUCCCACUAGCUAUUUAUUUUAUAUUUCAUAGUGUGUAUAUGUCAAUGACAAUCUCUCACUUUGUCCCAGCAUACCCUUCCCCCUCCCCGUGUCCUCAAGUCCAUUCUCUAGUAGGUCUGCGUCUUUAUUCCCAUCCUGCCCCUAGGUUCUUCAUGACCAUUUUUUUUUUGGGUACGCGGGCCUCUCACUGUUGUGGCCUCUCCCGUUGCGGAGCACAGGCUCCGGACGCGCAGGCUCAGCGGCCGUGGCUCACAGGCCCAGCCGCUCCGCGGCAUGUGGGAUCUUCCCGGACCGGGGCACGAACCCGUGUCCCCUGCAUCGGCAGGCGGACUCUCAAUCACUGCGCCAUCAAGGAAGCCCCAUUUUUUUUUUUUUUUAGAUUCCAUAUAUAUGUGUUAGCAUACGGUAUUUGUUUUUCUCUUUCUGACUUACUUCACUCUGUAUGACAAAUAUAUGGAACGCUUCACAAAUUUGCGUGUCAUCCUUGCGCAGGGGCCAUGCUAAUCUUCUCUGUAUCGUUCCAAUUUUAGUAUAUGUGCUCCCGAAGCGAGCACAAUCAACUGGAUCUUACUGACACCUGCAGACCACUCUAUCCAACAACAGCAGAACAUACAUUCUUCUUAAGCUCAUGCAACAAUUCACCACGAUAGGCCACAAAACACACCUUAACAAACUUAGAAAUCAUAUAAAGAAUGUUCUCACCACAAUGGAAUUAAAGUAGAAAUCAGUAGCAGAAAUAUAGCUGAAUCAUCCUCCAAAUUAUUUGGAAAUUAAACAACACACUUCUGAAUAACCCAUGAGUCAAAGAAGAAGUCUCAAAAAAAUCUAGAAAUAUUUUGAAUUCUACUUGAAAGACAUCUCAAAAGAAAAGACAGGAAAACUUGACAACACAAACAAUAAAAUGUUUGAUUGUCAGAAAACAUCACAAAGAAAAUGGAAAGAAACAACAAUCUGGGAAAAAUAUUUACAGCAAAUACGACAAAUACAACAUACAUAUUUUUUAAAAGAAACAAAAAUUUUUCCUGUUACAUUAUCAAAUAGGUAAAAAGUGAUACUAUUCCAGUAGCUAUACAUUUGAGAUUAGUGCACUUUACUGAAUGCAUGCUAAAAUCUAUUUUUAAAAAUUCUGUGCAAAGUUGAUAGUUUAGUAAGAAAGGCACUUUCCAACUUUGUUAGUGAUAAUUUGUUGCAACUGUCCUAGAAAACAAUAUGGCUAGUAAUCAAGAGCAUUAAUAAUGUUCAAAUACUUUAACCUAGGGUUUCCACUUCUAAAAUAUGACAAAAGUUUACACACAAAGACAUGCCUUAUAUGAAUGAAAACCUGGAGCACAGAAAUCGACAGUAAACUAGUGCUUUUACAAAUAUCGUGAUAAAUCUGCUUGGUGAGAUUUCAAGAAGCUAUCAAAUAUUAGUUUACCAAGUUUUUAAAUGAUAGAACAUGUUUUGAGAGUAAACAAUAUACAAAGUUAUAGCUAUAGAAUAAAUACAAUUUUAUGUUAAAAUGAAUAGAAAAAGAAAAUAAGGAAUUAUGGCAGAGUAAUUAUUGCUGCUGUAUUGCAUCUAUAUAUUAAAGUUAUGGGUCAUUUUGGUUUUUUUUUUUACUUCUUUAUAAUUUUUUGGUAUAUUCCAUAUUUUCUAAGUGAAUCUUCAGUAUUUUAAUAAUCAGUAAUAAAACCAGUAAGUAAAUAAACAAAAAGUUAACUCCCAGUUUCUGGAAUCCUCUGUUUCCUGUUAUUCCUCCUGCUAGACUCUUAAGCAUCUUCCAAGGUACAGGUCAAAGGUCACCUCCUCUGUGAAGUCUUCCUAGACCCUCAGAGUUAGUCACUCCCUCCUUUGUUUCUGUCAACUCUUUGCCUGCAGCUCUCUCCCUCAUGCAUCACAGUGACUCAUUUAUUUGUUGCUCCCACUAGACAGAGGAUCAAGGGCCAUGUUUUGUCAUCUUGUCUCCGUGGUAACCAGGACAGCAUCUGGUACAAAAUAGACAUUUAAUUCAUCAUUAUUAUGUUAUUGACAGGUCACUUCACAAUCCCCCUGAUUCUCUUGGUUGCGAUACAUAGCCUUUCCCAGCUGAUAUUCCUAAGAAACCAAAGAACUAGGAAGGCGUGAGGGAAGAGACAUUUCUCAGAUCCAUCGAGGAUUGACUUCUGUUUUCCUGCUCAUGGCCACAUGAUCCAAGGCCUCCACUAUUCCUGUGAAACCCACUUCCAUCUCAGGGCCUUGGCCUUGCUGUUCCCUCUGUACUGGACCCUUCUCCUGGGGGAGCCACAGACUUCAUGCAGUUCUCUUCGGAAGUGGCCACUCCUCAGACUCCAUCCCUUGCCACCCUAAUGAAAACACACCCCUUGUUGGUUUCCACUUCCUUAUUCAGUUGUUUUUUUGUCUGUCGUGUCAUACAUCAAUAACCUGACUUGUGUAUUUUUUGUAUCCUCCAGUAGAAUAUCAAACUCCUAGAGGGCAGGUCUUAGUUUUGUAUUUGCCUGUGUCCUCAGUGCCUAGGACAAUUCCUUGCCAUAAAUAGGGGACAAAUAUAAUAGGUCCCACUGUAUUGAAUCAUGUGGAAGCAAUAAACAAAGUCCGUAUCCACCAGAAGCCAAAGGAGAGAUAAAAUGAUUUUCAUGAUGUCCUUAUCUUGUGCCCACAUGCCAUCUUCUGCCCUUGGAGUAACAGUUCAGUCACUCCAGCUCACCAAGAUCAACAAGGAGAUUUUAUCAUCAAGAAGUCAGAAUUCAGGUGCUGUCCUCACAGUGCAAUGAAAAUCCACUAAGAGCCCAAAUGGCAACUUUAUGGGAACACUGCUUUCAGCCUCCUUCAUUUUGGAACGAGAAACAGUGCCCCUUCUCUUGGGAGCUCCUUAGUGAGCUGUGACUCCCUUCAUGGCUGAGAGAGAGGGGGCUGGAGAACACAGGCUGAUUAGGAUGUCAGCUGGGGCAAAGGGAAUCAAAGGUCCUUCUUGUAAGCGUUUUUUGUAAGCACCAUAACAUCAGUUCAAGCCUCCUACACGGUGACGGGGGAAAAGCCCAAGGCUGAAUGGUUUAUUUUGUUGUCUUUACUUCAAUAAUAAAAUAUCAAGUAUAUUUUA